UACGGGGAGUGCAAGCGUUGUUCGGAAUCAUUGGGCGUAAAGCGCGUGUAGGCGGCCUGCUAAGUCUGAAGUGAAAGCCCUCGGCCCAACCGAGGAAGUGCUUUGGAAACUAGUAGGCUUGAAUCCUGGAGGGGCGAGUGGAAUUCCCAGUGUAGGGGUGAAAUCCGUAGAUAUUGGGAGGAACACCGGUGGCGAAGGCGGCUCGCUGGACAGUGAUUGACGCUGAGACGCGAAAGCGUGGGGAGCAAACAGG
rnacentral:misc_RNA from 1 species